rfam:Treponema pedis str. T A4, complete genome.
GUUUAUCUUCCGUGUUUGUCUUUAGGCAAACACGGGAAUAGUGUAUCCGCUUUUUACUUCCGCUUAUAAAAGCGAUUAAAAAUUUUUUUUGGGAUUUGAUAAUCCUUGUAAAAAAAUUUUGUGGGA